UUUAAGGUUGACCUCGGAUCAGGUAGGGAUACCCGCUGAACUUAAGCAUAUCAAUAAGCGGAGGAAAAGAAACCAACCGGGAUUGCCUCAGUAACGGCGAGUGAAGCGGCAAGAGCUCAAAUUUGAAAUCUGGCCCCCUCGGGGUCCGAGUUGUAAUUUGCAGAGGAUGCUUCGGAUGCGGCCCCUGUCUAAGUGCCCUGGAACGGGCCGUCGGAGAGGGUGAGAA
rnacentral:rRNA from 1 species